rnacentral:rRNA from 1 species
UACGUAGGGUGCAAGCGUUGUCCGGAAUUAUUGGGCGUAAAGAGCUCGUAGGCGGCUCAGUAAGUCGGGUGUGAAAACUCCAGGCUCAACCUGGAGACGCCACCUGAUACUGCUGUGGCUAGAGUCCGGUAGGGGAGCAUGGAAUUCCCGGUGUAGCGGUGAAAUGCGCAGAUAUCGGGAGGAACACCGGUGGCGAAGGCGGGUCUCUGGACAGUUCCUGGACGCUGAGGCACGAAGGUCAGGGGAGCAAACGGG